GUAUUUUUCUCCUUCUCCUGAUUUUUGACCUUCUCCUUCAGAUGCUCAAUCUCCCUGCGGAGGUCUGCGAUGAUGCUGGUGUAUUGGUCCAUGUGGUACGAGUCGUUCCGCAGGUUACAUUUUACCUGGGACAGCACGGUCCGAGUCAAGCCCUGAUCACGUCAUAGAGCUCAUGCAAGAUCCUGGAGAAGCAUUCCAAGCUGCAUAAAGACAACUCACAGAUAUAUUCAGGGAUCAGCUCUCAAGCCCUGUCUGAUUUGGGCAGUGAUACCAGCAAGACACAGCAGCUCCUCGCUGACCCGGGGUGUCCAGUACCUUCAGCAGGCGGGACGCUUCAUGUACAAACUACUGCUCUGAAGCAACAGAGAAACACACAGUGUUGGUUUUCCCAGAGAUGAGAACAUGCCUGCAAACCCUGCACCGCCAGCCAAGGAAUCCAGCCUGGUCUCAGCAAAAG